GAUGAACGCUGGCGGCGUGCCUAAUACAUGCAAGUCGAGCGAACAGACGAGGAGCUUGCUCCUCUGACGUUAGCGGCGGACGGGUGAGUAACACGUGGAUAACCUACCUAUAAGACUGGGAUAACUUCGGGAAACCGGAGCUAAUACCGGAUAAUAUAUUGAACCGCAUGGUUCAAUAGUGAAAGACGGUUUUGCUGUCACUUAUAGAUGGAUCCGCGCCGCAUUAGCUAGUUGGUAAGGUAACGGCUUACCAAGGCGACGAUGCGUAGCCGACCUGAGAGGGUGAUCAGCCACACUGGAACUGAGACACGGUCCAGACUCCUACGGGAGGCAGCAGUAGGGAAUAUUCCGCAAUGGGCGAAAGCCUGACGGAGCAACGCCGCGUGAGUGAUGAAGGUCUUCGGAUCGUAAAACUCUGUUAUUAGGGAAGAACAAAUGUGUAAGUAACUAUGCACGUCUUGACGGUACCUAAUCAGAAAGCCACGGCUAACUACGUG
rnacentral:rRNA from 1 species